CUCCUACGGGAGGCAGCAGUGGGGAAUAUUGCACAAUGGGCGCAAGCCUGAUGCAGCAACGCCGCGUGAGGGACGACGGCCUUCGGGUUGUAAACCUCUUUUAGUAGGGAAGAAGCGAAAGUGACGGUACCUGCAGAAAAAGCACCGGCUAACUACGUGCCAGCAGCCGCGGUAAUACGUAGGGUGCAAGCGUUAUCCGGAAUUAUUGGGCGUAAAGAGCUCGUAGGCGGUUUGUCGCGUCUGCUGUGAAAACUGGAGGCUCAACCUCCAGCCUGCAGUGGGUACGGGCAAACUAGAGUGCGGUAGGGGAGAUUGGAAUUCCUGGUGUAGCGGUGGAAUGCGCAGAUAUCAGGAGGAACACCGAUGGCGAAGGCAGAUCUCUGGGCCGUAACUGACGCUGAGGAGCGAAAGCAUGGGGAGCGAACAGGAUUAGAUACCCUGGUAGUCCAUGCCGUAAACGUUGGGCGCUAGAUGUGGGGACCAUUCCACGGUUUCCGUGUCGCAGCUAACGCAUUAAGCGCCCCGCCUGGGGAGUACGGCCGCAAGGCUAAAACUCAAAGGAAUUGACGGGGGCCCGCACAAGCGGCGGAGCAUGCGGAUUAAUUCGAUGCAACGCGAAGAACCUUACCAAGGCUUGACAUAUACCUGAAAAGGCUGGAAACAGUCUCCCCGCAAGGCAGGUAUACAGGUGGUGCAUGGUUGUCGUCAGCUCGUGUCGUGAGAUGUUGGGUUAAGUCCCGCAACGAGCGCAACCCUCGUUCUAUGUUGCCAGCGCGUUAUGGCGGGAACUCAUAGGAGACUGCCGGGGUCAACUCGGAGGAAGGUGGGGAUGACGUCAAAUCAUCAUGCCCCUUAUGUCUUGGGCUUCACGCAUGCUACAAUGGCCGGUACAAAGGGCUGCAAUACCGUAAGGUGGAGCGAAUCCCAAAAAGCCGGUCUCAGUUCGGAUUGAGGUCUGCAACUCGACCUCAUGAAGUCGGAGUCGCUAGUAAUCGUGGAUCAGCAACGCCACGGUGAAUACGUUCCCGGGCCUUGUACACACCGCCCGUCAAGUCAUGAAAGUCGGUAACACCCGAAGCCAGUGGCCCAACCGCAAGGAGGGAGCUGUCGAAGGUGGGAUCGGUGAUUAGGACUAAGUCGUAACAAGGUAACCGUA
rnacentral:rRNA from 1 species